AACGAACGCUGGCGGCAUGCCUAACACAUGCAAGUCGAACGAGACCUUCGGGUCUAGUGGCGCACGGGUGCGUAACGCGUGGGAACCUGCCCUUAGGUUCGGAAUACCUCCCCGACAGGGGUGCUAAUACCGGAUAAUGUCUUCGGACCAAAGAUUUAUCGCCUUUGGAUGGGCCCGCGUUGGAUUAGCUAGUUGGUAGGGUAAAAGCCUACCAAGGCGACGAUCCAUAGCUGGUCUGAGAGGAUGAUCAGCCACACUGGGACUGAGACACGGCCGAGACUCCUACGGGAGGCAGCAGUGGGGAAUAUUGGACAAUGGGCGAAAGCCUGAUCCAGCAAUGCCGCGUGAGUGAUGAAGGCCUUAGGGUUGAAAAGCUCUUUUACCCGGGAUGAUAAUGACAGUACCGGGAGAAUAAGCUCCGGCUAACUCCGUG
rnacentral:rRNA from 1 species